GGGGCUAUGGCUCAGUUNGUAGAGUGCUUGCCUAGCAUGCAUGAAGCCCUGGGUUCUGUCCCCAGCACCACCG
rnacentral:tRNA from 1 species